ACGCUAGCGACGUGCCUAAGGUAUGCAAGUCGAAUGCCGAUUUAUCGGCAUGGCAGACGGCUGAGUAAUACAUGGGAAUCUACCUCAAACUCGAGAAUAGCCCAUCGAAAGGUGGUGUAAUACUCGAUAGUUCCGUUUACGGUAAAGCUCCGGCGGUUUGAGAUGAGCCCAUGUCCUAUCAGGUUGUUGGUGGGGUAAUUGCCUACCAAGCCUAUGACGGGUAGCUGGUUUGAGAGGAUGAUCAGCCAGACUGGGACUGCGAUACGGCCCAGACUCCUACGAGAGGCAGCAACUAGGAAUCAUGCGCAAUGGACGAAAGUCUGACGCUGCGACGUCGCGUGAGGGAUGAAGGUCUUCGGAUCGUAAACCUCUUUUAUCUGGGAACAAGUUCUGAGUGUACCAGAUGAAUAAGUGCCUGCCAACCACGUGCCAGAAGCAUCGGUAAUGCGUGGGGCACGAGCGUUGUCCGGAUUUACUGGGCGUAAAGAGAUGCGUAGGCGCCUUUUUAAGUCACUUGUAAAAUCUCCCCGCUCAACGGGGAAACUGCAAGUGAUACUGAAUUGGUUGAGUCAAGUAGAGGAGAGGGGAAUUCCUGGUGGAGCGGUUAAAUGCGUUGAUAUCAGGAGGAAUACCAAGUGCGAAGGCACCUCUCUGGACUUGUACUGACGCUAAGGCUCGAAAGUGUGGGGAGCAAAACGGAUUAGAUACCCGUGUAGUCCACACUGUAAACGAUCCCUGCUAGAUGUUUG
rnacentral:rRNA from 1 species